rnacentral:misc_RNA from 1 species
UCCGAGUUGACCCCGGCAGUCUCCUAUGAGUCCCCGCCAUUACGCGCUGGCAACAUAGAACGAGGGUUGCGCUCGUUGCGGGACUUAACCCAACAUCUCACGACACGAGCUGACGACAACCAUGCACCACCUGUGAUCGGCCCUUGCGGACCCCAUAUCUCUAUGAGUUUUCCGAACAUGUCAAGCCCAGGUAAGGUUCUUCGCGUUGCAUCGAAUUAAGCCACAUGCUCCGCCGCUUGUGCGGGCCCCCGUCAAUUCCUUUGAGUUUUAGCCUUGCGGCCGUACUCCCCAGGCGGGGCGCUUAAUGCGUUAGCUGCGGCACAGAGACCGUGGAAUGGUCCCCACACCUAGCGCCCACCGUUUACGGCGUGGACUAC